UGCCUAAUACAUGCAAGUCGAGCGAACUUUUGGGAGCUUGCUCCCAAAAGUUAGCGGCGGACGGGUGAGUAACACGUGGGCAACCUGCCUGUAAGACUGGGAUAACUUCGGGAAACCGGAGCUAAUACCGGAUAAUUCUUAUCAACACAUGUUGAUAAGCUGAAAGUCGGUUUCGGCUGACACUUACAGAUGGGCCCGCGGCGCAUUAGCUAGUUGGUGAGGUAACGGCUCACCAAGGCAACGAUGCGUAGCCGACCUGAGAGGGUGAUCGGCCACACUGGGACUGAGACACGGCCCAGACUCCUACGGGAGGCAGCAGUAGGGAAUCUUCCACAAUGGACGAAAGUCUGAUGGAGCAACGCCGCGUGAGCGAUGAAGGCCUUCGGGUCGUAAAGCUCUGUUGUUAGGGAAGAACAAGUAUCGGAGUAACUGCCGGUACCUUGACGGUACCUAACCAGAAAGCCACGGCUAACUACGUGCCAGCAGCCGCGGUAAUACGUAGGUGGCAAGCGUUGUCCGGAAUUAUUGGGCGUAAAGCGCGCGCAGGCGGUCCUUUAAGUCUGAUGUGAAAGCCCACGGCUCAACCGUGGAGGGUCAUUGGAAACUGGGGGACUUGAGUGCAGAAGAGGAAAGCGGAAUUCCACGUGUAGCGGUGAAAUGCGUAGAGAUGUGGAGGAACACCAGUGGCGAAGGCGGCUUUCUGGUCUGUAACUGACGCUGAGGCGCGAAAGCGUGGGGAGCACACAGGAUUAGAUACCCUGGUAGUCCACGCCGUAUACGAUGAGUGCUAAGUGUUAGAGGGUUUCCGCCCUUUAGUGCUGCAGCUAACGCAUUAAGCACUCCGCCUGGGGAGUACGGCCGCAAGGCUGAAACUCAAAGGAAUUGACGGUGGCCCGCACAAGCGGUGGAGCAUGUGG
rnacentral:rRNA from 1 species